UGAACCGGUAACAAAAAUAAAAAAAGCCCACCGCACCGCUUCCACGAUCCCCUCCCCCUGAUCCUCUCAUCUAUCGUCUCCUCCCAACCGGAUCGCGCCGCCGCCACCGCCUACCUCCCCGGAUCGCGCCGCCACCCCCGCCUACCUUCCCGGAUCGUGCCGCCUCCGGCGCCUACCUUCCCAGAUCGCGCCGCCUCCGCCGCCUACCUUCCCGUAUCGCGUCGCCACCACUGCUUGCUUCUCCAGAUCCACUGGCCGACGAUAUUGACGACGCCCAACCACGAGCCCUGUUCCUCCCCGGAUCCAUUCUCGCUGGACGCCACAAUCUGAGCCAUCACUGUGCCGCCGCCUGGUCUCCUCAGCCAUGGAAUGCAGGCCUCCAGCAAGGUGCCCGUGCCGCCAACCCACGGCGGUGUCUCCCGCCCUUCGCCUCCUCCGGCUCCGCAGCCACCGCACAUCCUCAUCCCUGGUUGGGCUCCACCACCGCGGUGCCUAGGCCGUUCAAUGACGCAGCCCCGACCGCAUCAUCUUGAAGGAAGGCCAAUGAAAGACAGGGGAACCGAUGCACUGGCAAGCUAGCACACCUGUGCAGCUGACGGUUUGGUGGGCGGCAGCCAAAUAUCUUGGCAUGUGGCUACUGGUUUGGCGGGCAGGCAAGUAGCAACAAGCACAUCAGCUGCAGGCAAAGCUGCUAGCAGAAAAGAACUGAACCUUCAAGCUUUAGCCAAAUUUCCAUCGAUUUAUUCUCCAUGGAUAGUGCAACACUAUUUUGACUGAAACUGGCGAUUUGAUGUCUGCUUAACUGAACCUUUAUGGUUUGUUUUGUUGAUAAUUACAGGAGUAGAUAGACUGAUGCUAGUGGCUGCCGCUAGACAUCUCUAUUUUUUGCUAUUGCAUGCGACCCAGCUGCUUCUGCUUCCUCUCUUCCCGCCGCUCAAUGUUGCUGCCGGUCGCUGCUAGCUGCUGUUGUCAGACAUUUCUAGCUGUUGUUGUGCCGUGUGGCUGCCCGACGCCACUGCCAUUUUCUGGCUGCUAUUGGUACGCUGUUGCUGCAGUUCAACAUGACAAAAGAGAUAUUUCUGUUAGAGAUUAGCACUGCUGCUGUCCGUGCUUAAAGAAAUGAGAAUAGAGAGAGAGAGAGUGUGUGUGUGGAUAGGAUAUAGCGGUGGGUUGUGGAUAAAAACCAUCGAUUAUAGUGAAAAAGUAUUUCUUUCUCUGGCACUUAGUGCGCGUGUCUUCCUCUGAAUUGUCGUUAAUGUGUUCUCUGUACAAAGCAUAAACUAUGCUUGCUUGUUUCAUGUCAUAUUCAAUUGGCAAUAUGAAAAUAAAGGAUCAGUUUUUCA